UACGUAGGGGGCAAGCGUUGUCCGGAAUCAUUGGGCGUAAAGAGCGUGUAGGCGGCUCGAUAAGUCCGCUGUGAAAGUCCAGGGCUCAACCCUGGAAGGCCGGUGGAAACUGUCGGGCUAGAGUCCGGAAGAGACGAGUGGAAUUCCCGGUGUAGCGGUGAAAUGCGCAGAUAUCGGGAGGAACACCAAUGGCGAAGGCGGGUCUCUGGGCCGAUACUGACGCUGAGGAGCGAAAGCGUGGGGAGCGAACAGG
rnacentral:rRNA from 1 species